CCAAAAUAUCCCUAGUGUAUAUAUAUUAGUUCUGAAACCAUAAUUUCUAAUCCCCUUCUCUCUGCUGCUUUUCACUUUCCUUCCCUUAAAACUCUGAUUCUCUCCUUCUCCCUCUCCUUCCCUCCUCCACUCUUGCCGUCGUCCGCCGCCCUCGUCUCCUCAGGUCACUGUCUUACCGCAAAAAGAAGAACUGUUGUUACUGCCUCGAUGGGGUCCCCCUCAUUCUCUUAGAUUCUCUUCCUUUCCUUCUCUCUGCGACACUCCUCCACUUAGACCUCUCACCGCCAUCCGCUACCUUUGUCUGCUCUAACUCACACGCCUAGCACCCGGCCCUAGGAGAACCGACAUCGCCGGAUGCAGAAUCAUCACGAGGAGCUUAAAGCGUCACCGUCUUCGGUAGAGGCUGUCCGGUCUCCGUCGCCGCCUCCAGCAAGAUCAUUGGCUACAUUUCCUUCCGGUUGAAGUGGGUUUGCAGAAGAUCUGUAAGUUUUGGAUGGUUUAUGGCUAGUUUGUGCAAGGCAAUGGUAACAGUUUUAGAUUUGUUUUGUUUUCUUCUCAAUUAGUGAGGUCGGAUGAAAAUUGGUGUUUGAUGUAGCUGAUUGUUUAGUUUGGUAUAUGGUCGAAUUUGGCUAGAGUGGAUUUUAAAUUGGAUGAAUAGAUAUGAAAGUGUUUAUGGUUUGGAUUUUUUU